rnacentral:lncRNA from 1 species
UUUUUUUUUCUUUAUAUAGUGAAACACAUCUCUCUCACUAUUCUUGUGGACGUAAGUAAUUACCGAAACACAUACAUCUCGAUCUUUUCUUGUUGCUGUUAAAAAAUUGCGUACGGUAAAACGCAGCGGAAAAAGAAAUCAAACAAAUUUGAUUUUGAAAAACUUUCGAGAUCUAAUCUCAAAAACCACGCAAUUAGGAUCCCUCAUGUUCUUUAAGAUUAAAGGAGAAAAGUAAGAUCGAAUCAUUACCUUUUUCGCGGAUAAAUCCUUGCCUCAAUUUGAUGAUCGUGGAAUUGGGUUCUCUUGAAGCCGCACACGCGUCCGGCCUCUAUAGGUAUCCACACGAGGUUCUUGAUUUGAUCGAUGUCCUCACCGGGGUGCUAGCUCCCUUGCAAAAGGACGUCUUUCUUGCUAGAAGAUGAAAGAGAGAAGAGAGGAUAGAUGACGGCUAGGGUUUUCUAAAAACUCCUGUAUAUUAUAUAUAGGAAUAUAAUCCUAUUCCUAAUAAUAUAAUGAUAAUUAAGGAUAAGUAUAAAUCUAGAUUUAAAUUUAUCUUUUCCUUAAUUAGUUAGAUCGAUCAAAUCCUAAUUUGAUUCGACUUGAAUUUUAUAUUAAUUUGAUCUUAUCAAAUUAAUAAUGCAACAUUUGCACAUAACUCCUCUUAUAAUUUACUAACUAUUAGUAAGUCCUCUCUAGUAACAUUUACACUUUAAUACCACUAAUUUGUAACAAUUACAAAUUAGUUCAAUUAUCAACAUAUUGACAAUUAGGUCCUCCGGCGAUUCAAUAAUCGCGAUCUAGCUAUCCGAUCAAUCACAACCUCUUAUGUGUGUGACCCCAUAGGUUCUAUUCUAUCUGGUAGUGAGAUAUAUUUUGAUCACUAUCAACAAUAUCACUGAAACUCCUUUCAGUGGAUCGGAACAAUUCCAACUCAGCCCAAUGAAAAUUAUCGAUCAUCUAGAUAAUUCUCAUGAGUCUCACCAUCCACCAGUGACGCCUAGCAGCAUGUAGUGGCAUUCCAGUAGAAUGGAAUACUAAACCUCUUGGUGCAGUUAUCGUGUGAUACAAUCCUUCUAUCAUGAGUCCCGACUUGACGGAGGUUAUGGAAUAACUCGUCAAACCCCAUCGUCUGUCAUAUGUUAAAUUUAUUCGACUCGAGUUUCUAAUAUCGGAAACCCUUUUCCGCUAUUUUAUUCUGCCCUGGCCAAGGUCUUCUAAACUCGGUCUCAUAAAUCACAUAGGACUAACACCCCUAUCUACCAAGGGAGAUAGAUUCCAUCUGAGUGCGCACCCUAUUCCUACAAUGAACCUACUGCAGCCAACAUGCACCGCAAGGACCCGAAUGGCUAGGGACCAAGUGUAUGUACAGUCAAACUACAGUAACCUCAUUGUGAAUAGCCGAGGCACCGCAGGUCAAAGGACCAGUCACACUACUGCAACAAUUGAGUAAGUCACUGACGAGUGAGUAGACAUCCAAGUGACUUCUCGCGUUGGUCACGCUCGGUACCCUUGUUCUCUAACAACCACCUGCAUAUUCGCUUCAGUGUCCCCACACUGUCGACUCGAAACUCGUCUACCCUGAAAGGGAAGCGACUUAUGCACCAAUCUCAUCGGAUCAAUCACCGUCCCCGUGAUGAUCCAUUGAUCGGGAGCAUUUAGGAAUUAAUCACCAAUGACACAUGUCUCAAAUUCUCAACACUUGAGAAUAUAUGUCAUCAUCUUAUUAAUUCCUUGGACGAUUCAUGGACACAUACACAAUAUGAAUGGAAAUAAAAACCCAAAGUUAUUCAUAAUAUUUUAAAA